rnacentral:rRNA from 1 species
CACGAAGGUUGCAAGCGUUACUCGGAAUUACUAGGCGUAAAGGGCAGGUAGGUGGUUUGGUAAGUCUAUUGUGAAAGCUCCCGGCUUAACUGGGAGAGGCCAAUGGAUACUGCCAAGCUUGAGUAUAGGAGAGGUUACUGGAAUUCCCGGUGUAGCGGUGAAAUGCGCAGAUAUCGGGAGGAACACCAAUGGCGAAAGCAGGUAACUGGACUAUUACUGACACUCAACUGCGAAAGCUAGGGGAG